rnacentral:tRNA from 1 species
GGGAAGGCAUAAAGGUUAUAGAGUUGGCUUGAAACUAACUGUUGGAGGUUCGAUU